UAGUAUUAUAGGUGUGGUACUGGACAGAUGGGUUAGUAUUAUAGGUGUGGUACUAGACAGAUGGGUUAGUAUUAUAGGUGUGGAACUGGACAUAUGGUUUGGUAUUACAGGUGUGGUACUGGACAGAUGGGUUAGUAUUACAGUUGUGGUACUAGAAGGAUGGGUUAUGGGUAGUAUUAUAGGUGUGGUACUAGACAGAUGGGUUAGUAUUAUAGGUGUGGUACUAGACAGAUGGGUUAGUAUUAUCGGUGUGGUACUAGACAGAUGGGUUAGUUAUAUAGGUGUGGUACUAGACAGAUGGGUUAGUAUUAUAGGUGUGGUACUAGACAGAUGGGUUAUGGUUAGUAUUAUAGGUGUGGUACUGGACAGAUGGGUUAGUAUUAUAGGUGUGGUACUGGACAGAUGGGUUAGUA
rnacentral:lncRNA from 1 species